UACGUAGGGGGCGAGCGUUGUCCGGAAUUACUGGGCGUAAAGCGCGCGCAGGCGGUCGGUCAAGUCCGGCGUGAAAGUCCCCGGCUCAACCGGGAGGGGUCGUCGGAAACUGGUCGACUGGAGGGCGGGAGAGGAGCGUGGAAUUCCCGGUGUAGUGGUGAAAUGCGUAGAGAUCGGGAGGAACACCAGUGGCGAAGGCGGCGCUCUGGCCUGCACCUGACGCUGAGGCGCGAAAGCGUGGGGAG
rnacentral:rRNA from 1 species